GUCAGGCGUGGUGGUGCACGCCUGUAAUCCCAGCUACUUGGUAGGCUGAGGCAGGAGAAUCACUUGAACCUGGGAGGUGGGGGUUGCAGUGAGCUGAGAUCAUGCUACUGCACUCCAGCCUGGGCAACAGAGUGAGAUCCUGUCUCAA
ensembl:misc_RNA Metazoa_SRP Metazoan signal recognition particle RNA